AACGAACGCUGGCGGCAUGCCUAACACAUGCAAGUCGAACGAGACCUUCGGGUCUAGUGGCGCACGGGUGCGUAACGCGUGGGAACCUGCCCUUAGGUUCGGAAUAACUCCCCGAAAGGGGUGCUAAUACCGGAUAAUGUCUUCGGACCAAAGAUUUAUCGCCUUUGGAUGGGCCCGCGUUGGAUUAGCUAGUUGGUAGGGUACAAGCCUACCAAGGCGACGAUCCAUAGCUGGUCUGAGAGGAUGAUCAGCCACACUGGGACUGAGACACGGCCCAGACUCCUACGGGAGGCAGCAGUGGGGAAUCUUGGACAAUGGGCGAAAGCCGGAUCCAGCAAUGCCGCGUGAGUGAUGAAGGCCUUAGGGUUGUAAAGCUCUUUUACCCGGGAGGAUAAUGACAGUACCGGGAGAAUAAGCUCCGGCUAACUCCGUGC
rnacentral:rRNA from 1 species